AAUAAAAACAAAGACUUAUUUUCCAAUUGUUUUGCUUUUGCCUCGUCUUCUUCUUCACAGCAGCAGCAGCGAGAAGAAUCCUCAGCUAGGGUUUCUGAACCUCUCCAAGCUCGAAACGAGCCCAGAACCCAUGACUGGAAUCCCCCCCUACCAAUGAGCCUCGCCUCCCUCUUACUUCGCAAAGGUUUGAAUUUUAGAGUGGUCGCGGUUGAUAGUUUUGUGGAGGAAAUAUUUUGAUUGCUGAAUUGUUGAGUGAACGAAAACCAUGUCUGGAAGAAAUCGUGGACCACCUCAUGCUGGACUACCUCCUCCCAUGCAUGAAGUGCCGUAUGGAAGAGGACAUGGGCCGAUGCCCCAUCCUGCAUUACUUGAGGAAAUGAGAGAAUCCCAGCAUGGUAUGGGUCCCAGAUCACUUCCCCCUCACCCUGCGAUAAUUGAGGAGCAUCUCGCCGCCCAGCUUCAAGAUAUUCAAGGUCUUCUAGUUGAUAACCAGAGGCUGGCUGCGACUCAUGUUGCCCUUAAGCAGGAAUUGGAAGCUGCCCAAUUUGAGUUGCAACGCAUGGCUUACCAUGUUGAUUCAAUGCGGUCAGACAAGGAUGUUCCAAUGAGAGAUUUGUAUGACAAGUCUGUGCGUUUGGAAAUGGAUCUUCGUGGGGUUGAGGCUAUGCGGGCUGAGCUUCUUCAGGUUCGCGCUGAUAUCAAGGAACUCACUGUUGCGAGGCAAGAGCUCUCUGGCCAGGCGCAAGCGAUGACCCAAGAUUUGGCUAGAAUCAAUGCUGACUUGCAACAGGCACCAAUAUUAAGAGCAGAAAUUGAAUCUAUGAAACAAGAACUGCAACGUGCUAGAGCUGCCAUUGAGUAUGAAAAGAAAGGGUAUGCAGAGAAUUAUGAGCAUGGUCAGGUAAUGGAGAAGAACUUGAUCUCAAUGGCUAGGGAGCUGGAGAAACUUCGUGCAGAAAUCGCUAAUACUGAGAAGAGGGCACGUGCUUCAGCUGCAGUUGGAAAUCCCAGUGGAGGUUACAAUGCAAAUUAUGGUAAUCCUGAAGCUGGAUAUGCAGGAAAUCCUUAUCCUGCCACCUAUGGCAUGAAUCCUGUACAGGGUGGUGCUGAAAAUUUUCCUCAGUAUCCUAUGCCUGGUUCCUGGGGUGCAUACGACAUGCAACGAGCUCAGGGACACCGAUAAGCUAGUUCAUCCGUGAUCCUGAGCUACGUUCUGAUGGUAUCUUGGCUUCAGCUAAUAGAUAUUUAGACUGCACCAAUGAAGUGAGUAUGUGGGUUUUGAUCGAGUUAUGUUGCUCCUGAAAGGAUGCAGUCCAUCUCUCCUCAAAAUUAUAUUCUUCAGUGCAAGCUCUCUGCUGAUUUUGAAUAAUUGGGAGCUGUUACCCCUUGGUUGGUUUAUUAUACCAAGACUUUGGGCUGAGCAGAAACUUACAACUUUUCAAGUUGACUUCUAGUUCUUCUGAUUUGAGCUUUAUUCCUUCCGUCAAAUUUAUAUGUAGCGGAAUAAAAUAGUAUGUUUGGCAUGGCUGCAAAAGUCGUAGUACAGUACUUCCUGUGGACUACUCAAUCCAACUUAGGUUCUAUUGUCAUAUUGUCUUGUUCAGCUUACUAUGACUGGCAAGAUCUGCUCCGCGAAAACCAGAGGAGUUGACUAUUUGGGAUAUGGGAUUUUUAAUUGUGAAAGGUCACCUCAGUUUUCUUAUCUUGGGAUGUGCACAAAUUUUAGUUCAAGAGAUGUUUUCAAAGGAAAGGAACAGUUUUUGAUUGUGAAAAGUUCAUCUCCUUUAUCCUUAUUGAGUUGUCAAUUAGGUUUAGUUCAAGAGAAUGAUCUUUGAUGGUGAAAAGGUCAUCUCCUUUCUCCUAAAUGGGUUGUCUAUUGAGUUUACCAAGAGUUGUUCUUUAAAGAGGAAGUUUGUGUCUUGUUCCAUUUAGAGGGUUAGCAGCCAAAUAUAAGAGAAGCUUAGUCAUACCUGACGUAUGCUGUUCACUGGGAGACACUCAACAAUGGAGCUCCACGAUGGUUUUCUGGUCAAGUUUGCAACCUUUUGGCUGUGUAAAUCUGCUGCAUCAUCAUGAACUGAAUUUUUAUGUGAUGUCCUGAGUUGGUGAUUUCUCACAAGCCAAGUGUUGAGUGGCGCCAUCUGAAUUGAACAGACGCGGAGCUUUGAACUUUUAUGAUGGCCCUUUGGUGGCGGUCACAAUGUUAGAUGACCAUAAAUCACUCACAGUGCAUACCAGUUUCACAGCCAGCCGCUAGGCAAGAUCAAGUAUCUCUUGCCAAAUGCAAACAUUUUCACUGAAGUUGAACAAAGUUAAAAGAUAAAAAGCCAUUAGAGGCCCUAAUGGUUUUUGGUUUUACUGCUCCUUGCCUGCAUAAACCAUGCAAAAAGUUAUUCCAGUGAAUAAUGUUAUACAAUACGAAGAGUCGGACUUAAUCACAUGUUUUGGUUUUGUAAGCAAAUGUUAUACAAAACCAUAGAUAGAAAUAACCAUUUCACAAUCUACUCUUCAUCA